AGAGGUGGCAAACGUUGUCCGGAUUUAUUGGGUGUAAAGGGCAUGUAGGUGGUUUUGUAAGUCAAAGGUGAAAUGGCCCGGCUCAACCAGGUCAUUGCCUUUGAAACUGCAGGACUUGAGCACGGAAGAGGAAAGCGGAAUUCCCAGUGUAGCGGUGAAAUGCGUAGAUAUUGGGAGGAACACCGGUGGCGAAGGCGGCUUUCUGGUCCGAAACUGACACUGAGAUGCGAAAGCCAGGGGAGCAAACGGGAUUAGAUACCCCGGUAGUCCUGGCCGUAAACGAUGAGAACUAGGUGUUAGAGGUAUCCACUCCUCUAGUGCCGCAGCUAACGCAUUAAGUUCUCCACCUGGGGACUACGACCGCAAGGUUG
rnacentral:rRNA from 1 species